CUUUUUGUAUUUUAAAAAUAGUCCACUCAGUCCAGGUGCAGUGCCUCAUGCCUAUAAGCCCAGCAGUUUGGGAGGCCAAGGUAGGAGGAUCACUUGAGGCCAGGGGUUUGAGACCAGCCUGGCAGCAUAGCAAGACCCCAUCUCUGCAAAAAAAAAAAAAAAAAAAAAAAAAAAAAAAAUCAAAAUGUAUAAAUAUUGGAAAUCAAGUUUUUCAGCUGUUUUGUUGGUUGGUUGGUUGGUUUUUGUUUGGUUUUGUUUAAAUGGGCAAGAAGUAAAUAAUGUGGCUGGAAUACAAGUUGAACAAACUAGAAGACACAAAUCUAACAUAGUUUUUAUGGACCAAGGAACUUGUAUAUUGUAUAAGCUUUAGUAAAAGGUACAUUUUCACCAUACCUUUUUUUAUAUCACGGUAUUAUAGUACACCUUGUUACCAAAUAGGUUGUUCUCUUCCCCACCCACCUUUGAGCUUUUGCUCUAAAAUACAUUCAGGUUCCAAGCCUGACCAUCCUUGUUUAAUCUAUCAUACUCUUCCAGGUUUUUUUUUUUUGGUCUAAGGCUGGAACUUUUUUCUUUUUUUUCAGCUGAAGUCUUAUGACUUUUCAUGAGUCAAAAUUGUUUGGAUUUCAGCAAGUCAAAUCUUGCAAAGGCCUGCAUAUUUUUUUUAAGAUUAUAUGAAGUCUGUGCAAAAGCUUUAAAAAAAUGCCUCUGCCUUGCCUGCAAUACAUGCAAUGUAUGUUAACUUAGUCUCUCUUCUCAGACACUGUUGGUAGUUAUUUCUGUGUUUUCCUUUUUUUAAAAAAAAAUAUGGACUUAUUGUGGUUAUCUGAGAGGUUCUAACAUUCACAUGCAAUUUGGUGUGGCCAUUUAGCUAUUAAUGAGUUAAUGGCGCAGAACUUGUUGAUAUUUGAAGUGUUCUCUCCCCUUUUCCCAUGACGUAAAUACAUAGGUGUGUUCCAGGAUUUGUUCAGGUUUUUCCCCCCUCCUAAUCUUGUACAUAACUUGUAUUAUGUGUAAGUUAAACAUUUUAUUUUGAACUUGGAAUGUUCCCAGUGAUUUCAUUCAGCAGGGUAUUUUCUGCCUUGUUGGCAAGUGACAAAAAAUAUGGGAAGUAUUUGCUACCAGUUGGUAGAUGGUGCCCUUAAUGGUAGAAUGAGGAAAAUGUCCGCAAAAGCAUGUUUUAUUAUCUUUACUUUUUUGGGGGGUUGGAGGGGGUAGCCUAGCCAGAACAUCAUUGUAAUCUUAAAACAUAAGAUGCUUUUAUUAGAUGAUCAACUAAAAUAGCUGGAAGACAGUACUUUAGAAACAGAUAGUUGUAAGAUUAUAAAAUGCAAAUGUAACUUAUGUUUUCAUUUUUUUCUCUGCCUUUUUUGUUUGUUUGUUUUCUCUUUUCCAGUACUGAGCAUCUCCACAAAUGUCUCCUAACUCAGAAAAUGUUUCUUUUCUUUUCAGUUGAGAUUUGGUUGCAUUCAGGGUUGUAGGUUGGCCUUGCUUGCUAACCCCGCCGGUUUUACCGUGCUUUCAUUCCUGAACUUUGUUUAUGCCUUUGUUUGGUUUCUUCGAAAUUGCAGCAGACUCAUUGGGCUACAUUUAGUACAGGAACCACGUGUGUAAUGUUAUACAACACAGUCUAGUAAUACAAUCAUCCCUCUUAGAGUAAAAACUACCUCUAGAUUGUGGUAAGCUUUUACUGUCCCAUAAAACAGGAGCCACAGUACCUUAUGAAUGCAAAACUGUAACUUCCUACAGUGUUUCCCUACAGAACAUUGUCUUUCUGGUGUCCUGGGCUGUUUUGAAAAAGUUUCCAUUAAUAGACUUUUUAGAAAUUAUUAUUAGUAGCAUUUUUUUUCCAGCUUUGCUGUCUUCAUCACUCACUCUAUGCUCAGACUAUGCCACUGUAAAUAUUCUUCCUAACAUCUUUAAAUCGCCUUUUCCUCAGUUUUCAAGGGGAAGGUCAUUUGUAAAGCACGUUAGGUGGUUAAAUCAGUUAUUGCGGUUUUCUCUUACUGCAAGCCUUUUUAAUCACCCCCAGGCUGCAUUUUAUUCUAUAUCGCCUUUUUUCUUCAAAUCUGCUCCAAUCACUCACUUCUCUCUUAUAAGCUAAUCCUGCCUCACACCUUAAAUCUGUUUCAGUGAUCAAGGGCAGAACUCAUUGUGGCCUUAUCUUUCUUUGUUGUAAUUGUUCACUGUCUCUUUCUUACAGACCACUUAUUUCUGAGUAGUAGUUAUUCCUCUCUAUGGAGUCAUGGCAGGAAUCAUUACACAGUGCUUUUGUUCAGAGCAUGGACAUGUUCCUAGUGCUGCUUUGCUUUAACGGCCACAAGUUUCCUCCACUUCCUAGGUUUGGUAUUUAGUUAAGGAAUCAUAUUAAAUUAACCAAUAACAAAAGAGAUACUUUUGAAGAACAAACUAUUCCUUACCCAUUUUUGUAGCUCAAAAAUAAUUUUUCAAGUUCAUGACCUUAUUAAAAUGAACUUGUGUUUUUUUAACAAACAUGUAUGUUUUAUUUUGAUAGUUUCUUUCCGUAAGAUAAUUGAAAUAUUAUACUGUAAACCCUUUUCUUUUCUUUUUUUGAAAAGUCCAAGAAUGUACUUAUACAGGCAUUUUUCCCCACCUAUUUUUGGCCAUUCUCAUACCACAGACUAAAGAGUGAAAUGAUUUGUCCAUUGUAGCUUAUUGUUUAUCAGUAGUUCUUUUGUCAGCUGCUUACAUUUUUUCUUUCAUGGUUUUGUGAAUCAUUUUCAGUAUGUAAUUUAUAGGAACCUUGUCCUCUGGUUAUAGUAGACUGUGUGCCCUCCUCCAGUGAUGGCAUUAUUAGACAUGCUGGUCAUUUACCCUCAGAAAGACUCUCUUAUUAGAAUGGUGAGUGCUUCAGUUAUAGUAUGUUUGAAUUUUUAAAAAAUUCUGUUUUAGAAAUGUAUCUUAUGCUCUCAUGACUAUGCAGUUUCUAAACAUACACAUAGAAGCUGAGUCUCUGAUCCAAUAUGUUUUUAUUUGUUCCAUUUAAUUUAUCACAUAGAUUGGGAAGGCAAGCUAAAAGCCUUAAAAAUGCCCUUUAUAUUUUGAGUGAUUUCAGCGUUGAACACUAGUAUACUAUCUAAAUUUGCUGCUCACUUUCUUUAAACUGUGGCAAUUAAAGGCAUGUUUAUACAUGACUUAAUCGUGAAAUGUUUGUCACUCUUACUGCACAGACUUAUCUGCAAUCAUAACUGGUUAGUUUUUUUGUUUUGUUUUGUUUUAUUGUUUUUAAUGAAACUGGUACCAUCUGUGCUUUCACAAAAAACUUCCAAUGCCAUUUUUGAGAACUAACCUAACUAGUCAUGCUAACCAGAAAAUCCACUGGGGAGGAGGUUCCUUUUGAAACAAAAUGCUGUUCAGUUAGUAACCAAGUUACUUUGAUUGCAAAAGCAGCUGUGUUUCUGAUAAGUACUGAACAAAUGUGUGUAAUUUUCUGUGCCAGACUUAUGACUUUGUUUUCAAGCACUGUAAUGUGGGAUGGAUGGUUAGAAACAAUAAUAUAUUAGGGUUUCUGUUUAACCCUUUCAGGACUGAACUGUAUCUCCUUUUGUUAAUUUUCCCCUGUGUUGUGAUAAAUGUUUGCCAGCAUUCAGUACUGUGUUGGUCCAGAUGUAGGUUUAUAUGCUCAUUUUUAGCUUAUUUCUUGUACCUUGCAGCAUGCUCUACGCAUUCAGUCCUUAAGGGGUUUAUUUUACAAACUGUGCGCCUGUAAGGUUUAUUAGCAAUAAGAUAGAAAAUUGAGCAAGUUUAUACCAUAAUUUUGUAGAAAAAAAGAAUCUGCUCAGUUCCAUAUUUCAUCCGUGAAAAACUUGCAAUACGAGCAGUUUCAAGGAAUAAAUAAAAAGGAAAUGUAAACCAUUGUAAAAGUCUUCUGUCGAAUGUGCCUGAUGCAUGUAUUAUCGUCUUUUAUUUCAGAAUACUUCAUAAAGAUAAAAUUAAAUUCUAUAUUAUAGUUGGUGUAUUUACAAUCUUACCAUGUACAUCACAUCAAAGUGAUAGCUCUACUAAUUUAAUUUCCUUGUCAAUGUUUUUAACUAUAUAGUGCUUUAAAGAGAUUUUUUUUCCCUGUGUAAAUGGUGAAAUGGGCUUUGUCACUCAAGGGUCAUAUCUCUCAAAUCAGAAUCAUUUAAAGCUGAUUGCAACAAAAUUUGAGAAUAUUACUUAGCAAUAACUUACUUUUCCAAUAUAAGAUGGUCAUUUUGUCUGCUAUAGGAAGGAACACAUAAUCGUUUGC
rnacentral:lncRNA from 1 species